rnacentral:rRNA from 1 species
UACCAGCACCCCGAGUGGUCGGGACGAUUAUUGGGCCUAAAGCAUCCGUAGCCGGUUCUGCAAGUCCCCGUUAAAUCCAGCUGCUCAACAGAUGGGCCGCGGAGGAUACUACAGAGCUAGGAGGCAGGAGAGGCAAGCGGUACUCAGUGGGUAGGGGUAAAAUCCGUUGAUCCAUUGAAGACCACCAGUGGCGAAGGCGGCUUGCCAGAAUGCGCUCGACGGUGAGGGAUGAAAGCUGGGGAGCAACCGG